AAGGUGGCCUAUGCAACGGCCAUGGACUGGUUCAUUGCCGUCUGCUACGCCUUU
rfam:Scleropages formosus scaffold5809, whole genome shotgun sequence.